UGGGGAAUAUUGCACAAUGGGCGGAAGCCUGAUGCAGCGACGCCGCGUGAGGGAUGACGGCCUUCGGGUUGUAAACCUCUUUCAGCAGGGACGAAGCGUGAGUGACGGUACCUGCAGAAGAAGCGCCGGCCAACUACGUGCCAGCAGCCGCGGUAAGACGUAGGGCGCGAGCGUUGUCCGGAUUUAUUGGGCGUAAAGAGCUCGUAGGCGGCUUGUCGCGUCGAAUGUGAAAUUUUAGGGCUCAACCCUGACAUUGCAUUCGAUACGGGCAGGCUAGAGUUCGGUAGGGGAGACUGGAAUUCCUGGUGUAGCGGUGAAAUGCGCAGAUAUCAGGAGGAA
rnacentral:rRNA from 1 species